CCUACGGGUGGCAGCAGUGAGGAAUAUUGGUCAAUGGGCGGGAGCCUGAACCAGCCACGCCGCGUGAGGGAAGAUGGUACAGCGUAUCGUAAACCUCUUUUGUCAGGGAACAAAGGCGGGGACUAGUCCCCGGAUGCGGGUACCUGAAGAAAAAGCAUCGGCUAACUCCGUGCCAGCAGCCGCGGUACUACGGAGGAUACGAGCGUUAUCCGGAUUGAUGGGGGUAAAGGGGUGCGCAGGCGGCCGGUUCAGUCAGCGGUAAAAGCCCGGGGCUCAACCCCGGCGUGCCGUUGAAACUGGCGGGCUUGAGUUGGAUAGAGGUACGCGGAAUGCGCGGUGUAGCGGUGAAAUGCGUAGAUAUCGCGCAGAACCCCGAUUGCGAAGGCAGCGUACCGGCUCCACACUGACGCUGAGGCACGAAAGCGUGGGUAUCGAACAGGAUUAGAUACCCGAGUAGUC
rnacentral:rRNA from 1 species